rfam:Asian citrus Psyllid, Diaphorina citri - Florida Strain, whole genome shotgun sequence.
AUCAGCGGCGAUAGCAUAUUGAAUGCACCAGUCCCAAAGGAACACUGAAGUUAAGCAACGUUGCCCCUGGUAAAUAUCCAGAUUGGUGAAAUUCUGGGUAGUCGCGUGCU